rnacentral:rRNA from 1 species
CGCUUCUCGAACUAUAACAAAUGAGAAGUCGUGCCUGCUCUAUGAUUUAACUAAUUUAAUGGCCGCGGUACCCUGACCGUGCAAAGGUAGCAUAAUCAUUUGUCUUUUAAUUGAAGACUAGAAUGAAUGGCUUGACGAGAAUUUAGCUGUCUCUUAUAUUCUACUAUAAAUUAAUUUUUGUGUGAAGAAGCACAAAUUAAUAAAAGGGACGAGAAGACCCUAUUGAGUUUUAAUUUUCAUACUAGUAACGUUUUAUAUUUGUAUAUAAAUUAUACUAAUAUAAAUUUUAGUUGGGGCAACUGAGGAGUAAAAAAUAAUCUCCUUAUUAUACACCAAAAUGAUAAUUAGAUGAUCCUUUUAUAAAGAUUAAUAAAUAUAAUUACCAUAGGGAUAACAGCGUAAUCCCUCCUAAGAGUUCUAAUUGAAGGGGGGGGUUGCGACCUCGAUGUUGGAUUAAGGAAUCACAAGGGUGUAGAAGCUCUUAUGGUAAGUCUGUUCGACUUUUUAAACCUUACA